GACGAACGCUGGCGGCGUGCUUAACACAUGCAAGUCGAACGGUAAGGCCCUUCGGGGUACACGAGUGGCGAACGGGUGAGUAACACGUGGGUGAUCUGCCCUGCACUUCGGGAUAAGCCUGGGAAACUGGAUCUAAUACCGGAUAGGACCACUGCCUGCAUGGGUGGUGGUGGAAAGCUUUUGCGGUGUGGGAUGGGCCCGCGGCCUAUCAGCUUGUUGGUGGGGUGAUGGCCUACCAAGGCGACGACGGGUAGCCGGCCUGAGAGGGUGACCGGCCACACUGGGACUGAGAUACGGCCCAGACUCCUACGGGAGGCAGCAGUGGGGAAUAUUGCACAAUGGGCGCAAGCCUGAUGCAGCGACGCCGCGUGAGGGAUGACGGCCUUCGGGUUGUAAACCUCUUUCAGCACCGACGAAGCGCAAGUGACGGUAGGUGCAGAAGAAGGACCGGCCAACAACGUGCCAGCAGCCGCAGUAA
rnacentral:rRNA from 1 species